UGGGGAAUAUUGCGCAAUGGGCGAAAGCCUGACGCAGCGACGCCGCGUGAGGGAUGACGGCCCUCGGGUUGUAAACCUCUUUCAGCUCCGACGAAGCGAAAGUGACGGUAGGAGCAGAAGAAGCACCGGCCAACUACGUGCCAGCAGCCGCGGUAAGACGUAGGGUGCGAGCGUUGUCCGGAAUUAUUGGGCGUAAAGAGCUUGUAGGCGGUCUGUCACGUCGGCUGUGAAAACCCGGGCUGCAACUCCGGCCGUGCAGUCGAUACGGGCGGACUAGAGUGUGGCAGGGGAGACUGGAAUAUCUGGUGUAGCGGUGAAAUGCGCAGAUAUCAGAUGGAACACCGGUGGCGAAGGCGGGUCUCUGGGCCACAACUGACGCUGAGAAGCGAAAAGCGUGGGGAGCAACA
rnacentral:rRNA from 1 species